UGGCUCAGUGGUAGAGCACUUGUCUAGCAUGCAGGAGGCCCUGGGUUUAAUCCCUAG
rfam:Mus musculus chromosome 17, GRC primary reference assembly.